CUAAGCUAACCCCCCACCGCCAAACGUAAACCUAGCCGCUCUCUACUCUCACUCUCUCAGUUUCGCUCUCUGCACUCACUCUCAGUCUCACUCAAAGAAACCCAGGGCCGGCGGCGAACUCCUUCCUCCCACCACCUCGUAGCGCCGUCGAAGCCUUCCUCCCAGCGCCACCGGACCUUUCUUCCCAGCCCCUCCUUACGGACAGCACCACCCAGCCCCAGCCAGCACCUCCCUUGCGGUCAUAGACACUACACCACCCAGCAGGCCAGCACCAUCCAACGGCAUCUCAGCUCCACCAACAGGACCGAUCUGGCCACCUGCAGCACCGUUUGUGGCCACCCAUAACAGUAUUGCUACGUUUCUGGCCUGGCCACCCACAACACAGCAGCCACCGGUUGGCCUUCUUCCAAUGGUCUUCCUCCUUCCCAUCCACUUGACUUCAGAUAUAAGAAGAGAACUUGGAAUCAAUAUAAUUGAUGAACAGAAGGUGCAAUUAUCUAAGGGAUUGUGGCAAGGGAUAGAUUUAUUGGCUUGGAUCGAGAAUUUGGGUCCAAUACUGUGAAAAACUUACCAAGCAGCAGAUUCUGUGAUCUUUUAUUUCAUUAUAGUUUCAAUCUUUAUCAUGUUGUUAAUCUUUUUUUUCCCUUGAUUUUUUAUGUUCAACCUAUUGAUAUUUUUGCUUCUGCUUCUGCUGGUUAUUGGUUAAACAAGUACCAGUACCAAUAUACUUGGUUCUCACCUUUUAGUUGUUUGUUAGUUAUUAUUUUUAUGCUGUCAUUAAUGGAUUAACAUCUUUUCUUUUCGUAUUUUUAAGAUGUUAUAUAUAUUGAUUCUGUAUUAUUAUACUACUCUUUUUAUAAACUGUUUAGAGGAAUGGU